UUGUCCGGUUGGAGGUCGUCGUCCUCAACGCCCUCUCUCUAUCUUUCACAUUUGGCGCUCGAGCGUCUUGGUCUUCCAGCGGGCGCGACGGUUCUGGAACCAGACGACGACCUGACGCGGCUGCAGGGCGAGGUCGCGCGCGAUGAGGUCGCCGCGCGCCCGCCGGCCACUGCCAGGGCCAGCUUGUCCUCGUCCUCGUUCAUCUCGGCCUCGUCGUCGGGCUCCAUCUUCCGCGCCGGCAGGGCCUCUUCCACCGCGAACGUCAGCUUCUCCCCUGCAAUAGGCGUUCUCCCUGCUCCAGUAAGAGUAGGCGAGGACGAGCCUCCCCCAUCCUGGGUGUUGGUGCCUGACCCAUUUUCUCAAGAUAAGAUGUUCAGAGGUUCUCCUAAGAUAGUAGCUUUAUCUAAAGCUGCUCAAAAGAAGGCUUCUCCUAAAGCUGCAACAACAAAGAAAUGUGGCGGUGCACCAACUGUCAAUCAAGAGAAGGAGACAAAAAGAGUGAGGAAAGAUGCACUAGAAGGGCUGAUAGGGAGGUACCUUGAUGUGAAAACGAAGCAAGUUGCAGAUGAGGCUGCACAAUCAGCAAAAGUAAAGGAUGUUGCUCAAGAUAAUGAUUUUUCUAUCAAGAGGUGUAUUUCUGUUCUUAAGACUAUGGAUAUGACAAGAGAUGAGAAGGUCAAAGCAGCUGAGGUGUUCAACAUACCAAAUUACAGGGAAACAUUUAUUUGUUUCAAUGAUGAUGAGCCAGAAGUCGCUCUCCUUUGGCUAAGAGGGAAGAUGGAUAAACUCUAA
rnacentral:misc_RNA from 1 species